rnacentral:rRNA from 1 species
UACGGAGGGGGCUAGGGUUGUUCGGCAUUACUGGGCGUAAAGCGUACGUAGACGGAUGUUUAAGUCGGGGGUGAAAUCCCGGGGCUCAACCCCGGAAUAGCAUUCGAUACUGGACGUCUGGAGGUCGGGAGAGGCGAGUGGAAUGCCGAGUGUAGAGGUGAAAAUCGUAGAUAUUCGGAGGAACACCAGUGGCGAAGGCCUCUUGCUGGCCCGAUACUUACGCUGAGUUGCGAAAGCGUGGGUAGCAAACAGG